rnacentral:rRNA from 1 species
GACGAACGCUGGCGGCGUGCCUAAUACAUGCAAGUCGAGCGAGCUUGCCUAGAUGAUUUUAGUGCUUGCACUAAAUGAAACUAGAUACAAGCGAGCGGCGGACGGGUGAGUAACACGUGGGUAACCUGCCCAAGAGACUGGGAUAACACCUGGAAACAGAUGCUAAUACCGGAUAACAACACUAGACGCAUGUCUAGAGUUUGAAAGAUGGUUCUGCUAUCACUCUUGGAUGGAACUGCGGUGCAUUAGCUAGUUGGUAAGGUAACGGCUUACCAAGGCAAUGAUGCAUAGCCGGGUUGAGAGGCUGAUCGGCCACAUUGGGACUGAGACACGGCCCCAACUCAUACGGGAGGCAGCAGUAGGGAAUCUUCCACAAUGGACGAAAGUCUGAUGGAGCAACGCCGCGUGAGUGAAGAAGGGUUUCGGCUCGUAAAGCUCUGUUGGUAGUGAAGAAAGAUAGAGGUAGUAACUGGCCUUUAUUUGACGGUAAUUACUUAGAAAGUCACGGCUAACUACGUGCCAGCAGCCGCAGUAAUAC